UACGGAGGGUGCAAGCGUUAAUCGGAAUUACUGGGCGUAAAGCGUGCGCAGGCGGUUUGUUAAGUCCGUUGUGAAAGCCCCGAGCUCAACUUGGGAAUUGCAGUGGAUACUGGCAGGCUGGAGUACGGUAGAGGAAGGUGGAAUUCCCGGUGUAGCAGUGAAAUGCGUAGAUAUCGGGAGGAACACCAGUGGCGAAGGCGGCCUUC
rnacentral:rRNA from 1 species